ACAACAAGAAGUAUAAUAAUGAAGAGAAGUGGCAGCAGGAAGCAGCAGAGGUUGUGUCUUUUGAGCAUUUUCCUGCAGAGAGUUCUUCU